GAAAACUUGGAAACUACCGUUGGAUCGAGAAAUGAACGUUCGAGAUUCGUCCACGUCACCCUGAGUUAAAAUUUAACUAGGAGUUUUAACUCAGGGUGACGUGGACGAAUCUCGAACAUUCAUUUCUCGAUCCAACGGUAGUUUCCAAGUUUUC
rnacentral:pre_miRNA from 1 species